UACGUAGGUGGCAGCGUUGUCCGGAUUUACUGGGCGUAAGAGCGCGCAGGCGGUCGUUCAAGUCGCGGUCGUGAAGCCCCCGGCUCAACUGGGGAGGUCACGCGAUACUGAUCGACUCGAAGGCAGGAGAGGGAAGUGGAAUUCCCGGUGUAGUGGUGAAAUGCGUAGAUAUCGGGAGGAACACCAGUGGCGAAGGCGAGCUUCCUGCCUGUUCUUGACGCUGAGGCGCGAAGCU
rnacentral:rRNA from 1 species